rnacentral:rRNA from 1 species
ACACGACUACAUUAGAUACCCGUGUAGUCCCAGCCGUAAACUAUGCUCGCUAGGUGUCAGGGACGGUGCGACCGUUUCUGGUGCCGCAGGGAAGCCGUGAAGCGAGCCACCUGGGAAGUACGGUCGCAAGGCUGAAACUUAAAGGAAUUGGCGGGGGAGCACCGCAACGGGAGGAGCGUGCGGUUUAAUUGGAUUCAACACCGUAAACUCACCAGGGAAGACUGUUACAUGAAAGCCGAGAUGAAGACUCUGCUAGAUUUUCAG